GAUGAACGCUAGCGACAGGCUUAACACAUGCAAGUCGAGGGGCAGCGAGGGCGUAGCAAUACGCCUGUCGGCGACCGGCGCACUGGUGAGUAACACGUAUGCGACCUGCCCCCUACAGGGGUAUAACCCGUAGAAAUGCGGACUAAUCCCCCAUAGUCCUGGGUGCUGCAUGGCAUUCAGGGGAAAGGUCAGCCGGUAGGGGAUGGGCAUGCGGCGCAUUAGCUAGUUGGCGGGGCAACGGCCCACCAAGGCGACGAUGCGUAGGGGUUCUGAGAGGAAGGUCCCCCACACUGGUACUGAGACACGGACCAGACUCCUACGGGAGGCAGCAGUGAGGAAUAUUGGUCAAUGGGCGCAGGCCUGAACCAGCCAAGUCGCGUGAGGGAAGACGGUCCUACGGAUUGUAAACCUCUUUUGUCGGGGAGUAACGUGCGGGACGCGUCCCGUAUUGAGAGUACCCGAAGAAAAGCAUCGGCUAACUCCGUGCCAGCAGCCGCGGU
rnacentral:rRNA from 1 species